GAUAUGAAAUAAAAUGGGAUGUUACACUCAGACUGGGCUUUAGUGAUUGGGCUGAAAUGAAAAUGCACUGGGCCACUUGGUAUGAGCUGCAAAGCUGCUGUCACCAGUGGGAUCAAUUGAAAAGGAAUUGUGUUGGAUUGGUAAUGAAAUUGGGCUGCACUGGUUUGGGCCCAUGGAUUAGUAAUAUGGCGCAUUGUGAAAAAGCUUGGCUGAAGUUGUCUUUGGAAGGGAACUGGUCUGAUG
rnacentral:lncRNA from 1 species